rnacentral:rRNA from 1 species
AACGAACGUUAGCGGCGCGCCUAACACAUGCAAGUCGAGCGAGAAAGGGAGCAAUCCCCGGUAAAGCGGCGCACGGGUGAGUAACACGUAGGUAAUCUACCUCCGAGUGGGGGAUAACCUUCCGAAAGGAGGGCUAAUACCGCAUGAGACCACGCCUUCGAGAGGAGGAGAGGUCAAAGCCGGCCACUAUACAUAAGCUGGCGCUUGGAGAUGAGCCUGCGGCCCAUCAGCUAGUUGGUAGGGUAAUGGCCUACCAAGGCUAAGACGGGUAGCUGGUCUGAGAGGAUGAUCAGCCACACUGGAACUGAGACACGGUCCAGACUCCUACGGGAGGCAGCAGUGGGGAAUCUUGCGCAAUGGGCGAAAGCCUGACGCAGCGACGCCGCGUGAGUGAUGAAGGCCCUCGGGUUGUAAAGCUCUGUGGAGGGGGAAGAAUAAGGGUGACCUAACACGUCAUCCGAUGACGGUACCCCUUUAGCAAGCACCGGCUAACUCUGUG